GGUGGUAAUGCCGGAUGCUCCAUCACACUGCAUGGUGUGUUGGGAAAGCCUUUGCGGCAUGGGAUGGGGUCGCGUCCUAUCAGCUUGAUGGCGGGGUAACGGCCCACCAUGGCUUCGACGGGUAGCCGGCCUGAGAGGGCGACCGGCCACAUUGGGACUGAGAUACGGCCCAGACUCCUACGGGAGGCAGCAGUGGGGAAUAUUGCACAAUGGGCGCAAGCCUGAUGCAGCGACGCCGCGUGAGGGAUGGAGGCCUUCGGGUUGUAAACCUCUUUUGUUAGGGAGCAAGGCAUUUUGUGUUGAGUGUACCUUUCGAAUAAGCACCGGCUAACUACGUGCCAGCAGCCGCGGUAAUACGUAGGGUGCAAGCGUUAUCCGGAAUUAUUGGGCGUAAAGGGCUCGUAGGCGGUUCGUCGCGUCCGGUGUGAAAGUCCAUCGCUUAACGGUGGAUCCGCGCCGGGUACGGGCGGGCUUGAGUGCGGUAGGGGAGACUGGAAUUCCCGGUGUAACGGUGGAAUGUGUAGAUA
rnacentral:rRNA from 1 species